UACGAAGGGUGCAAGCGUUACUCGGAAUUACUGGGCGUAAAGCGUGCGUAGGUGGUGAGUUAAGUCUGUCGUGAAAGCCCCCGGGCUCAACCUGGGGAAUGGCGAUGGAUACUGGCUCGCUAGAGUGCGGUAGAGGAGAGUGGGAAUUCCCCGGUGUAGCAGUGAAAUGCGUAGGAGAUCGGGAGGAACAUCAGUUGCGAAGGCGGCUCUCUGGACCAGCACUGACACUGAGGCACGAAAGCGUGGGGAGCAAACAGGG
rnacentral:rRNA from 1 species